UGGGGAAUAUUGCACAAUGGGCGCAAGCCUGAUGCAGCCAUGCCGCGUGUAUGAAGAAGGCCUUCGGGUUGUAAAGUACUUUCAGUCGGGAGGAAGGUGGUAAGGUUAAUAACCUUAUCAAUUGACGUUACCGACAGAAGAAGCACCGGCUAACUCCGUGCCAGCAGCCGCGGUAAUACGGAGGGUGCAAGCGUUAAUCGGAAUUACUGGGCGUAAAGCGCACGCAGGCGGUUGAUUGAGUCAGAUGUGAAAUCCCCGGGCUUAACCCGGGAAUUGCAUCUGAUACUGGUCAGCUAGAGUCUUGUAGAGGGGGGUAGAAUUACAUGUGUAGCGGUGACAUGCGUAGAGAUGUGGAGGAAUACCGGUGGCGAAGGCGGCCCCCUGGACAAAGACUGACGCUCAGGUGCGAAAGCGUGGGGAGCAAACAGG
rnacentral:rRNA from 1 species